CCUACGGGAGGCAGCAGUGGGGGAUAUUGCACAAUGGGGGGAACCCUGAUGCAGCGACGCCGCGUGGGUGAAGGAGUGCUUCGGCAUGUAAAGCCCUAUCGGCAGGGAAGAAGCCAGACGGUACCUGACUAAGAAGCCCCGGCUAACUACGUGCCAGCAGCCGCGGUAAUACGUAGGGGGCGAGCGUUAUCCGGAUUCACUGGGUGUAAAGGGAGCGUAUGCGGCCAUGCAAGCCAUGGGUGAAAGCCCGGGGCCCAACCCCGGGACUGCCCUUGGAACUGUGCGGCUAGAGUGCGGGUGGGGCAGGCGGAAUUCCUGGGGUAGCGGUGAAAUGCGUAGAUAUCAGGAGGAACACCGGCGGCGAAGGCGGCCUGCUGGACUGCGACUGACGUUGAGGCUCGAAAGCGUGGGGAGCGAACAGGAUUAGAUACCCUUGUAGUC
rnacentral:rRNA from 1 species